GUCGACCCCUAAGGUGAGGCCGAAAGGCGUAAUCGAUGGGAAGCAGGUUAAUAUUCCUGCACGACUUGUAAUUGCGAUGGGGGGACGGAGAAGGCUAGGUGGGCCAGGCGACGGUUGUCCUGGUGAAAGUGCGUAGGUGGUGUUUCCAGGCAAAUCCGGAGACACAACACUGAGACACGAGACGAACGCACCACGGUGCGGAAGCCAUUGAUGCCCUGCUUCCAGGAAAAGCCUCUAAGCUUCAGAUUACAAGUCAUCGUACCCCAAACCGACACAGGUGGUCGGGUAGAGAA
rnacentral:rRNA from 1 species